UACGUAGGGUGCAAGCGUUGUCCGGAAUUAUUGGGCGUAAAGAGCUCGUAGGCGGUCUGUCGCGUCUGGUGUGAAAAUCCAGGGCUUAACCCUGGACCUGCAUCGGGUACGGGCAGACUAGAGUGCGGUAGGGGAGAUCGGAAUUCCUGGUGUAGCGGUGAAAUGCGCAGAUAUCAGGAGGAACACCGGUGGCGAAGGCGGAUCUCUGGGCCUUACCUGACGCUGAGGAGCGAAAGCGUGGGGAGCGAACAGG
rnacentral:rRNA from 1 species